AUUUGUGAAAGAGAGCAUUCCUGUUGAAGUGCAAGAGAUGAAGACAUUGAGAGAUAGUGCUGGAUGUGGCUCGCAUGAGGAGUACUUACGUAGCAUUAUGAAGCCGUGGGUUUAAUACUCAGAGCUACCUGAACCAGGAUGGGGUAAAGUACAUUCCUGCAAUGCUGGUGGUUUGGAGAUGGAAGUAGGAGGAUCAGACAUUCAAAGUCAUCCGUGGGAACACGGUGGCCAGCUCUGCCAAGAGAGAUGCUUGGAAGUGAGUAUUCUGCUAGCAGCCUUCAGUUGAAGAUGUAGAACAUUCAGCUCCUCCUGUGCCAUGCCUACCUGGACAACGUCAUGCUCCUGCCUUGAUGAUAAUGGACUGAACCUCUGAACCGAUGACGCUAGUUCAUGCUAAGUUGACAAAACUCUACCUUGGUGAAUGUUGGUCUGUGCUCCCAUUGUUUUGGGUAGUGAUGGAAGAGGCUGCUGUCUGAAACACCUUAGGGACUGUCCUUCAGAAGGGGUAAUCGUCUCAUCAAGCUGUCCAGAAAGCAAAGUCCAUAUCCUAGCAGCCUUCAGAUGAACACCUAGAAUUCUCCUGCACCAUGCCUGCCUGGAUGUUGCCAUGUUCCUGCUUUGAUGAUAAUGAACCGCUGAACCGCCUUGUAGGAGAAAAUAAAAAUCCCCAAGGAUCACAAGGUAUCAGAGCUAGAGGUGGUCUGCUGGAAACCUCCUUACUGAUGGAGCGAUGAGACUGGGUACAAGAAAGACUGACCUUGGAGUGUAGGAGCCUGGCUGGGGCUGCCCUCAAGAAGUGGCCGUCUGAAGACAAAGCACAUUCCCUCCUCCUCUGACAGGAUCAGAAGGGCACUCAGGUCACCCCAAAUGUCCUAGGUUAGAUAUAAACUGAAGUUGUGUUAGAGGACUGAACCCAUGGCUUCACGUGUGCCACUGCUAAACCAUACCCCGGACCCUGACACAGGAUGUUAUUAAUGCCUCGCUGGGGUGAUGACUGAGACAAGCACGUCUUGGCCACUUGCUGAACUUUACAUACUUCUAGCCUAUCUUCCCAGGCUGUAUGACUUUAAUAACCGUCUACAUACAGAAGAAAAGAAAAAGGGUCAUGUUAAGAACCAAUUAUGGAAGUGACAGUGAGUUCCUAGAAGUGAGAGUAGCUCACAUGUUAAAGGAAGAAACAAUUCAAGAAAAAGAGUGUUACCCCAGCGGAAGCCCCAGGAAUUCUACUCAUUAGAAUUUUUCUCAACAGAAUAACAGAUCUAGGGGCACGUUUUGAUGUAUGAGGAUGUUCGGGUCCUUAUUUACCAAAGGCGAGCAACCUGAACGCAUACGCAGAGAGUUUAUGGCCCUGGGUAGAACAGUAGAUGGGCAUUCAAGACGAAUGCUCGAGAAGGACAUUUGAUAACUGGAGGAAACGGCUGUGAGUUAUUUAUUGAAGAGUUCUUGAUUCUUGGAAGUUCAAGAUUGAGGGGGUCUGCGUCUAGAGAGAGGACCUUCGCCCAGGAUUAUCCCAUGCAGAAGGGCAGAAGGGCAC
rnacentral:lncRNA from 1 species